UCCAUCUAAAACCAGGUGCGGUCGCGGCCUCCAGGUGAUAACCUGGGUGGUUUCGCGCCGCAUUCCUGCACCCUUUUUUUACGAGCACCUUUGUUCUCCUUCGGCGGGGCAACCUACCGCUGGAACUUGAUAAAACCUUUUUUUGCAUCUAGCAUUACCUGUUCUGAUACAAAUAAUCGUUA
rnacentral:misc_RNA from 1 species